rnacentral:lncRNA from 1 species
GAUAAUAUAGUUAGUGCGUAAAAAAUAAAGUUUGUAGUUAAAUUGAUUAUGUACCUAAUCUUUAAUUAAUUUACGUAUCUAUUUAAAGAGAUCAAAAACAUUGGUAUUUUCCCUGACAAAGUGUGCGCUUCGAGAACAAAGUUUAAAAUUCUGAAUCAAUAUCUGUAUAAUGUCAUACAUAAUUCCAAUAAUAAAUCUGGAUAAAAUCUGAAAGGAGAUAUCAAGAGAGAGAAAGAGAGAGGGAGAAAGAUAAAGAGAAAGAUAGACAGAUUCCUGUUUGAAGCCGCGAUUAUAGAUAUCCUGACAGAUAUCGCGACAUCGAUGAUGAUCCGGUUGUCCCACUUACUCGUUCAUCCAGUCCCGGACAGUUCUUGGACUAUUAAACGAGCCGCUAAACAAGUUAGCAACUGGAUUACAAUAAGUUACGGGAUUAACGACGGGCACGGAUGACGACUGGCGGAGUCACAGGUAUACGGUUGCGACCGCGUGCUGCGAAAAAGCUUUUGCGAGCAGGUUGCCAGGGACGAGAAUGCGCAUAGACAACGACCGCGGCACGGGUUGGGUUUCAAUGCGGUACGAUGUAGCGUUUUACGUGGCUCAAUGUAGCGCAAAGUAGCCCCGGAAUUUACGACGGCCGCUUUAAUGCGCUUUAAUGCAGCGCAUUCGCACGAUUUUAAAGAAACGGGAUCGUAUCUGUCGACGACGAUUUAUGAAAUAUCUCCCUCGCUGUCGGAGAUAACGUCAACCCCCGGGAUUCCGCGGUCUUGCCCGUAUCGCGUUACCGCGCGCGCUGCGUUUCGCGGGAAACGCAACAAUUCCGCGCGGAUUGCUGGCUAAUUAUAAACUUCAGCCCAGGAACGAGGCGGAUGACUAACAGUGGCGUACGAGUUUGUGGAGGGAAAGUACAAGUCAGUACUUUCAAAUUCGUUUUAAGCACGAAUCCUUCGGAAUCGAGCAGAAGCCUCUAAUGAAAAGUUCUAUAAACUCUGGAAAUAAAUUAGACGUAGGAGAAGACGAGCUAAUAGAAAAAGAAAUCCAUAGUAUUAUUACUCGCGAAAAUUUCAUCUUCAUUUUACCAAAAUGAAAAUUUAAGCGCCAUUGUUAGAAGAAUAUUGCAGCCUUGUAUUAUAAAUACGUAAUGCGAUUUUAUAAAGCUUCUUAUCGAAAGCUCGGGACAAACUUUCGAGACAUGAUUCUCUCAGGCGUGCACGCGUGUAAAUUAUGUUAAGAUAGCAGUCUUCAAUUAUGUGCCAAAAAGAGAAAUACGCUAAGAAAUAAGCUAAUUGUGGGUUGGAUCUAAAUGGGUAUUCAUUAGCAGUUCGUCGCUGUAAUAAUUCGUGCGUCCUGUAGUGCCGCAUUCUUCAUGAGAACUCACUAAUAUGAAUCUUCAAGUAUGAUAAUCGGCGGUGAGAUAGUGCUGUUCAAUUACACUAUCGAAAUAAGAUAAUCAGUGUUUUCCGGUUAAGUAAGUGUCCCCCCCCGAUAGUCCCUUUCCGAGAACAUACGUUUAAUUGGAAUGCUCGCUUGUUUUCCAAGUGUAGAUCUUAUUAACAUAUUCGACGCGAUGCAAAGGAUGGGAAUUACGUACACAUUUCCUCUCUCACAGCACUCCAUAUCUGAUGUAACGAAUUACGUUAUCUUAAAUUGCGUAAAUUGUUUUUUAUGAACAUUUACUAUCGGCAUUUAUACGCUGAAGUCAUAAAAAUGAUUUCAAUUAAAUGAGAUACCAAAGUACAUUUAGGAGAUUAUGUUUUUCUGCUAUACGCAAUUUAAAAAAUUAAUAAAUAUAAUUUUUUCCCGUACCUCAUUUAAUUUGAAAUAUUGUGUGCGGUAUGCACAGUCAUACACAUAUAUUUAAUAAAAAUAAGGAUUUUUUACAUUAAAAAGUACAUUAGUCAAAUGUUGUAUGUUAAUUACAAUAAUUAAAAUAUCACAAUAAAUAAAAUAAAGCACAGAGGAUAUUAUUUUUGAAACGACUCUGCAACAUUGCACUCUAAUACAUAAUUGCAAAGUUCCAAUGUUGCAAUAACAUUGCAACUUUGCAAUGUUGCAAUAACAUUGCUGUAAGUUUCUGUGCUGUACGGAACAUUAUAUAAAGUAAAUACCUGUUAUUAUUCACGGAGAUAAUGUUUCAGUUCAUUAUAUCUCGCGAAAUAGUCACAAUAUAAUAGUGUACCUCUUCAUGAAAUAUAAAUUAAUGCAUGAUAUUGAUAAAUUAAAAAAAUUCUUUCUUACUUAUUAUUUAUAUUUAUUGACGACGAGUUUUGUCGUGGCAAAAAUCGUUAGACCAGCGUCCUUAUCGUGCGCAAACUAGUAUGCAUAGCGUAUUUGUAUUCACAGCUGCGAAUACGAUUAUAACAUCUCGUUUUUAGCACGCUAUAAUCGCCGAUAGUAAUGAAUGGGCAACGGCAUAGUUGAAAUUUCAGAUCGUCCCAUCGAUGAAUAAAAGAGCACCGCAGCUUCACCAUCAAGUACCGCGAUUAUACGCUCAUCACACGCAUGCUGAUAUGUCGCAUGCAAUCUUAUUAUGUCAUAAAGCUAAACCGCUACUUGAAAUCGCGUCGUUUAAUAGUAAUAAAGUUGGCAAGAUAUCCGUCUACGUAGCGGCUGUUAAACCCAAGCGCGACCCUAAUUCCGUUUUCGUUCGUUCACGCUGUAUGUGUAUUGUGAGAACACGAAAAUAAUAGGAAGACGGAAGUAAUUAUUUCGUAGAAUGCUUUGAUUAGUUUAUGAUUCGGAUACGAGCGUCAUCUGCGCCGGCACUUCACACCGAUUCGACAAAUGUAACAUGUACGUUAAUAGUUUAACUUUCUUUUUCUAUAACGUCGGGAAAAAUUUAACGUAUUAUACGCGUCUCAUAAAUAUCAUUUAAAAAAUUGUACUCUUGUAGAAAUCAUCUGGAAAAAUAUCCCAGCAAUAAUGUAUCUAUUGUACCAAUGUUGCUGAAUUUUACGCAACAUAAUUUUCUGUAAGACAACAGACAACAGUACUCCCCCGCUGGAUUAUGUUAAACAAAGUAGCAACGUAAUUUGAUUCUAGUUGAAAAAAAAAAGGGAUCUAAUCGUGAGAUUAGGCAGACACGGAGAUUCGGGGCUUUCGCGCGAGGUCAGAAAUCCGAAAGGUACGUCCUGCGGAACCGCGGAAGCGUGGAGCCGGUGAACGUACUUGAAAUCACACGGUGGAUGGUCCGAAUCGCAAGGCCCCCGUACCUUCCUCCUUCUGUAUCCCUUUCCCCACCCUUUCACCAUCGCCACCUCCACCAUCAUCGGCUUCUUGCCUCUCUGCCUCUCCCCUCCUCCACCGGGGGGCGUCCCGUCGCACUAAUAAUUCGUGAGUACAUUGCGGUGAUGUUGAGCAUUCCACCUGCCAACAGCAACCGGGUACAUUCCCCCACCUGGUAGUACCGGCAGGAAAAGUGGCCGCACGCCUUGCAAUCCCAGCAUUUCUGUGUUGGUUGUGGCCGUGAACGGGGCUCAAGUCCAAGGACACGCGGGAGCGAGAGAGAGCGCUUCUUCGAGUGCCUAGGAGAGAGACUUCCCUGCGUGCGGAGGCCCGCCGCGCGUUCUACCGCAGAUUUUACCCUGAUUUCUAUCGGCGCGGCUCGCCACCGCAACCGUCCAGGAUCGGGGAGCCUAAGCGAGGAUCCGAACGUUAAAACAACACCGGUAAGUGAUGCAUAAGUAUUUUAAUACCAAAUAUGUCUAACUUUUCGCUUAAGAAAGGCGAGACUUUCCGUGGCGCGUAAUGGCGCGACGGCGGGUUAAUGAGAAUCGCUCUAGGUGCAGAUAAGGUAACAUUACUCGAGUUCACCCGAGCAAGUUUACGACUUGCUCUUUGUAAUCCCGGGGUUUUACCCGAUCCUAGAUAUUUGGGAAUUUAUUACCGGUACGCCAAACGAUCAUCUCUCACCGCAAUAAAGACAAGUCGCGAUUCUCAAUCUGAUAUCACUCGCCCCGACUUUCCAAUUAACGUUUCUACCUAACGUUAUUAACGAUUAAUAAUAAAAAGGAAUAAAACUCCUGACUGCGAAAAUGUACGGACGUUUCAAAUUACGAGUGAUCAAAAGGAAUUUUAGUCACUCGAGCCGACAGUACUUGCUGAAAUCGCCGUAAAAGAAGGGAAAACCAUACAACUCCUAUAUUCUCUUCUUGCGGUAAAAUGCCCCGACACCCUGCUGCACAAUUCCUUUCCAUCGACUGAAUCUGUCGCUAGCUAUUUUCCCGUCCGAUGGUUCGCUAUCCCUCCCCCUAUGCAUUGGCUGUCGCUGGAACGCCGCGCAGUCCACAUUAAAUUAACCCCGUUAUGUCUUCUUAAUUUCAAGAAACAUUUGAAUAACAAUAGAAUACCCGAAACUCGCUUUCGCCCGAACGAUCGUGGAAAAUUGAGGGAGAGUACGGGCUUUCGAUUAAUAUCGAAAACAAGCUGAGGGUAUUCGAUUACGCGGAAUACAGAACGUUCAUUAAUAGAAUCGCGCUAUUGUACGUGCAAUCGUGAUAUAUGUAAUAAUACGAGUCUCGUUAGAGCUUGAAAAUUAUCAAUUCCUCGUUUAUCUUUGCACCGCGCCUAGAUAAAGUGUAGAAGCACGCUCGGAUCGCGCACACAUAUGCUACGUUCCGUGUACCUAUAGGUUUGUAAUUGAAAUACAUAGAUUACCUAUUCCGCGCACGCACCAGAAUCAAGCCAAUUGACGCACACAAUGUGUUCAUAACAGUGCUGCGGCGUAACGCGGGGCACAAGUUAGCGCAGCAUUGAAGUGCGGAAACGGGUAACUCCAUACGUCUUAGGAUCGAAAGCACGGGAUUCGCGUAUUCAUUCAUAAUUCUCGGAUACUUCAUAGAAUUCGUACGUGUGAAUCUCCCUUGGCUGAGAAAGAUGUGAUAGCCUUAGGAAGAGCGCGCGUAAAAAGGGAUGGCACAAAAUAUAAAAUCAUUAAAAAAAAAAUAA